GUGGGGAAUCUUGCGCAAUGGGCGAAAGCCUGACGCAGCCAUGCCGCGUGAAUGAUGAAGGUCUUAGGAUUGUAAAAUUCUUUCACCGGGGACGAUAAUGACGGUACCCGGAGAAGAAGCCCCGGCUAACUUCGUGCCAGCAGCCGCGGUAAUACGAAGGGGGCUAGCGUUGCUCGGAAUUACUGGGCGUAAAGGGCGCGUAGGCGGACAGUUUAGUCAGAGGUGAAAGCCAAGGGCUCAACCUUGGAAUUGCCUUUGAUACUGGCUGUCUUGAGUACGGGAGAGGUGAGUGGAACUCCGAGUGUAGAGGUGAAAUUCGUAGAUAUUCGGAAGAACACCAGUGGCGAAGGCGACUCACUGGCCCGUUACUGACGCUGAGGCGCGAAAGCGUGGGGAGCAAACAGGAUUAGAUACCCGGGUAGUCC
rnacentral:rRNA from 1 species